rnacentral:rRNA from 1 species
AGCCUUAAGAAACUAUUUAAGGUGAUACCUGCCCAGUGCUAUAUUGUAAACGGCCGCAGUACCCUGACUGUGCUAAGGUAGCAAAAUCAUUUGGCUUUUAAAUGGAGUCGGGAAUGAAAGGGAUAAUGGGGUUAAGCUGUCUCUUUAACAUUUUAUUGAACUUAUUUAUUAGGUGAAAAUACCUAUAAUUAGAAAAAAGACGAGAAGACCCUAGGAGUUUUGACUAAAUGUUAAUUAUUAUUUAACUACUGUUUUUGUUGGGGCAACAUGGGAAUAAAGUACAAUCUCCCUAUUUAUAUUGGCCGACUUGGUAUAAAUAAUUAAACUACCCUAGGGAUAACAGCGUAAUUCUUUAUUGAGCUUGCGACCUCGAUGUUGGACUAGGAAUUUGAUUGGCUAGCCGCCAAUUUAUAUGGUUCUGUUCGAACUUACAUCC